rnacentral:rRNA from 1 species
UACGGGGGAUGCAAGCGUUAUCCGGAUUUAUUGGGUUUAAAGGGUGCGUAGGCUGUGAGGUAAGUCAGCGGUGAAAUGCCCCCGCUCAACGGGGUGAAGUGCCAUUGAUACUGCCUUGCUGGAAUGCGGAUGCCGUGGGAGGAAUGUGUGGUGUAGCGGUGAAAUGCUUAGAUAUCACGAAGAACUCCGAUUGCGAAGGCAGCUCACUGGACUGCAACUGACACUGAGGCUCGAAAGUGUGGGUAUCAAACAGG